CCGCGGUAAGACAGAGGGUGCAAACGUUGUUCGGAUUUACUGGGCGUAAAGCGCGUGUAGGCGGCUUCGCAAGUUGGAUGUGAAAUCCCACGGCUCAACCGUGGACGUGCAUCCAAAACUGCGUCGCUAGAGUCUCGGAGAGGAAGGUGGAAUGCUUGGUGUAGAGGUGAAAUUCGUAGAUAUCAAGCAGAACACCUGCGGCGAAGGCGGCCUUCUGGACGAUGACUGACGCUGAGACGCGAAAGCGUGGGGAGCAAACAGG
rnacentral:rRNA from 1 species